rnacentral:rRNA from 1 species
UACUCGAGAGUGGCGAACGGGUGAGUAAUAUAUCGGAACGUGCCCAGUCGUGGGGGAUAACGUAGAGAAAUUUACGCUAAUACCGCAUACGAUCUAAGGAUGAAAGCGGGGGCUUCGCAAGAACCUCGCGCGAUUGGAGCGGCCGAUAUCAGAUUAGCUUGUUGGUGAGGUAAAAGCUCACCAAGGCGACGAUCUGUAGCUGGUUUGAGAGAACGACCAGCCACACUGGGACUGAGACACGGCCCAGACUCCUACGGGAGGCAGCAGUGGGGAAUUUUGGACAAUGGGCGAAAGCCUGAUCCAGCAAUGCCGCGUGCAGGAAGAAGGCCUUCGGGUUGUAAACUGCUUUUGUACGGAACGAAACGGUCUAUUUUAAUAAAGUGGGCUAAUGACGGUACCGUAAGAAUAAGCACCGGCUAACUACGUGCCAGCAGCCGCGGUAAUACGUAGGGUGCGAGCGUUAAUCGGAAUUACUGGGCGUAAAGCGUGCGCAGGCGGUUAUAUAAGACAGUUGUGAAAUCCCCGGGCUCAACCUGGGAAUUGCAUCUGUGACUGUAUAGCUAGAGUACGGUAGAGGGGGAUGGAAUUCCGCGUGUAGCAGUG